UACGUAGGUGGCAAGCGUUGUCCGGAUUUACUGGGCGUAAAGGGCGUGCAGGCGGUUUGUUAAGUGCAGAGUGAAAGCUCCCGGCUCAACUGGGAGAGGUCUUUGCAUACUGGCAAACUCGAGGGAGGCAGAGGAAAGUGGAAUUCCCGGUGUAGUGGUGAUAUGCGUAGAUAUCGGGAGGAACACCAGUGGCGAAGGCGACUUACUGGACACAUAUUGACGCUGAGGUGCGAAAGCGUGGGGAGCAAACAGGG
rnacentral:rRNA from 1 species